rnacentral:rRNA from 1 species
UACGGAGGAGUCAAGCGUUAUCCGGAAUUAUUGGGCGUAAAGCGUCCGCAGGUGGCACUUCAAGUCUGUCGUCAAAGACUGGGGCUUAACCCCGGAAAGGCGGUGGAAACUGAAGCGCUAGAGUGCGGUAGGGGUAGAGGGAAUUCCCGGUGUAGCGGUGAAAUGCGUAGAGAUCGGGAAGAACAUCGGUGGCGAAAGCGCUCUACUGGACCGCAACUGACACUCAGGGACGAAAGCUAGGGGAGCGAACAGG